rnacentral:miRNA from 1 species
UGCAUAUUUUGUUUGGAAGAUAUUAAUAAAAGUUGUUCGUCUUGAUGAGGGCUACAACUUUCAUUAAUAUCUUUUUAACAAAUUAUGCGUCUUUAAGGAGAUACGUCUGCGCAUGCGCAAUAGCGUAACUCCUUACGCUUGCAUAUUUUGUUUGGAAGAUAUUAAUAAAAGUUGUUCGUCUUGAUGAGGGCUACAACUUUGCUUAAUAUCUUUUUAACAAAUUAUGCG